rnacentral:rRNA from 1 species
GGACCCGCACAAGCAGCGGAGCAUGUGGUUUAAUUCGAAGCAACGCGAAGAACCUUACCAAGGUUUGACAACCCCUUGACAGAUGCAGAGAUGUGUCCUCCCCUUCGGGGGCAAGGGAGACGGGUGGUGCAUGGUUGUCGUCAGCUCGUGUCGUGAGAUGUUGGGUUAAGUCCCGCAACGAGCGCAACCCUUAUCCUUAGUUGCCAGCAAGUAAAGUUGGGCACUCUAAGGAGACUGCCGGUGAUAAACCGGAGGAAGGUGGGGAUGACGUCAAAUCAUCAUGCCCCUUAUAUCUUGGGCUACACACGUGCUACAAUGGUCGGUACAAAGGGAAGCGAAAGAGUGAUCUGGAGCAAAUCUCAAUAAACCGAUCCCAGUUCGGAUUGUAGGCCGCAACUCGCCUACAUGAAGUUGGAGUUGCUAGUAAUCGCGAAUCAGAACGUCGCGGUGAAUGCGUUCCCGGGUCUUGUACACACCGCCCGUCACACCAUGGAAGUUGGUAAUACCCGAAGUCGCUGAGCUAACCGUAAGGGGGCAGGCGCCGAAGGUAGGAUCAAUGACUGGGGU